GUCCCCGUAGCUCAGCAGGAUAGAGCAGCCGCCUCCUAAGCGGCAGGUCGCAGGUUCGACUCCUGCCGGGGACG
rfam:Idiomarina loihiensis L2TR, complete genome.